AGCUACGCAUUAAGCACUCCGCCUGGGGAGUACGGUCGCAAGANUNAAACUCAAAGGAAUUGACGGGGGCCCGCACAAGCGGGGAGCAUGUGGUUUAAUUCGAAGCAACGCGAAGAACCUUACCAGGUCUUGACAUCCUCUGACAACCCUAGAGAUAGGGCUUUCCCUUCGGGGACAGAGUGACAGGUGGUGCAUGGUUGUCGUCAGCUCGUGUCGUGAGAUGUUGGGUUAAGUCCCGCAACGAGCGCAACCCUUGAUCUUAGUUGCCAGCAUUUAGUUGGGCACUCUAAGGUGACUGCCGGUGACAAACCGGAGGAAGGUGGGGAUGACGUCAAAUCAUCAUGCCCCUUAUGACCUGGGCUACACACGUGCUACAAUGGACAGAACAAAGGGCUGCGAGACCGCAAGNUUUAGCCAAUCCCACAAAUCUGUUCUCAGUUCGGAUCGCAGUCUGCAACUCGACUGCGUGAAGNUGGAAUCGCUAGUAAUCGCGGAUCAGCAUGCCGCGGUGAAUACGUUCCCGGGCCUUGUACACACCGCCCGUCACACCACGAGAGUUUGCAACACCCGAAGUCGGUGAGGUAACCUUUAUGGAGCCAGCCGCCGAAGGUGGGGNCAGAUGAUUGGGGUGAAGUC
rnacentral:rRNA from 1 species